UCUGGAGCCUCUUUCAUGGGAGCACUAAUCCCAUUCAUGAAGGUUCUGCCCUCAUAAACUGAUCACCUCCCGAAGGCCUCACUUCCUAAUACCACAACCUUAGAGAUUAGGAUUUCAACAUAUGAAUUUGGCAGGGGGACACAUAUUCAGACCAUAGAACCCAGUUAGUGAAUGAUUACAUAAC